UGGCAGCCCUGCAGCCUCUUCUGUAUACCCACAGCACAGAUGCACCGCAGGUAGUGACAGUGCCAAAAUCCCCACACUGCCCCUGCUACAUGCCUCGCCCUGACUUGGAGAGGCCACCUCUAGAGGGGAGGGAAGAGUUUGAAUCCAUGCCUUCUUUUUGAAGAU
ensembl:misc_RNA